rnacentral:rRNA from 1 species
UACGUAGGGUGCGAGCGUUGUCCGGAAUUACUGGGCGUAAAGAGCUCGUAGGUGGUUUGUCGCGUUGUCCGUGAAAACUCACAACUCAAUUGUGGGCGUGCGGGCGAUACGGGCAGACUGGAGUACUGCAGGGGAGACUGGAAAUUCCUGGUGUAGCGGUGGAAUGCGCAGAUAUCAAGGAGGAACACCGGUGGCGAAGGCGGGUCUCCUGGGCAGUAACUGAGCUGAGGAGCGAAAGCCGUGGGGAGCGAACAGGA